UACGGAGGGUGCAAGCGUUAUCCGGAUUCACUGGGUUUAAAGGGUGCGUAGGAGGGCAGGGAAGUCAGUGGUGAAAUCUCCGGGCUUAACUCGGAACGGUCAAGUGAUACUGCUUUGCUAGAGUGCGGAAGGGGCAAUCGGAAUUCUCGGUGUAGCGGUGAAAUGCGUAGAUAUCGAGAGGAACACCUGAGGUGAAGACGGGUUGCUGGGCCGACACUGACGCUGACAGCGCGAAAGCCAGGGGAGCAAACGGG
rnacentral:rRNA from 1 species